CUCAUUUUACUCAACCCUACUUCUUUCCCGCGUCGUUCAUCUACGUUUCUUGGAUUUCAGUUCGUGUCUCGAACGUUGUUCUUCACGUUUUCUGGACUUCAAACAAGGUGUAGAGUUCUCACGCAAGGAGCAUGGCAAAGGAGGAGGUUUGGGUUCGUUUUUGGCAGAGAGGAAACGCAAGUUUCGGCGGCCAGGCGCGACCUCCAUCCUCACCGCGCGGUGGGUACCACGGCGGUGAUUUCUUCGCGGCGCGGGGAUGAGCUUCGCCAGAUAGGGUCUUUCUCGUGCAGGUUGCAUGGUGUUUGACAUGGGACUAGCUACCACACCAGCUUGUUUCAUGAGCACAAUAUUGUCUCCAUUUGCCUAUGGUGGUUCAAUCAUGGAUUUUCUACAAUCCAUGAACUCAAAUGAAUGCUGCUUAUGACACUAGACUUUAAGACUAGUACUGAGAAGCUUAUAAUAUGGAUGUGAUGAUUCUGUCAUAAUCAGAGCCUAAUACAAAUUUUUUACCAAGAGAGGUGGAUUGACUUCAACAGAGGUGGAGGAAAUAUGUGAUAAAGCUGCUCGAAAAUAUGCAAAUAUAGGAUGGCCAAAGUCUCUACUUUGCUUAGUGUCAUUCCAACAAAAGUUGAUUUUAUGAGCACUUAUGCAAUACACCUACGAGAAAUAAUCAAGGAGAGAAUCGAUCAUCCUCUGUAUCCUGACACUCCACUUCAGGGAUUUCAGAUACUAUGAAGGACUUCAAAAGUGUGUUGGACUUUAUUUAGAAGAUGGACAGUACUCGCCAAUUAUAUUAGGCCUCUCUUAACUAAGGGCGUUCCCUCUCUGUUCUCUGAUCUAUCAUCUUUGUACAAUCACCCUGGGAAGGUAUCUGAUCAAGGGAGUGGGCCAAACAAUGGAUGUAAUGAAGAAAAAAAUUAGAUAUUGUUAUUGAAUACUUUUAGUAUUGAACAUCUAUAUUGAACAUAUGU